UGGGUGUAAUCUGGUGUGGCCUCAAGAAA
rnacentral:piRNA from 1 species